UGCGAUCUAAACAAUACAACGGCAUCCCUACCGAAAGAAUGCAAAUUUUGUCCCGACAGGGAUUCGAGUGGCAAUCAGAAAGCGAAUGCAUCUAUACUGUCAUACCAAUACGUUUCUUCGCUGGCGUUUUUCUGCGACAAAGAUGACCCUUCGGUUCCCGUCUGGCAAAGGCACAACAAGAAAGCGUAUACAAAACAAAACUACCUAUGCAAUCAUAAAAGUGCAUGGGAAGUGAUGAGGGAGCACACAGAUUUUCAGUCAGAAGCCAGUCUCCCCGACGGAACAAACACGACUCCCGAAUUCAAAGUUCUUAGAGAAACAGAUGCGAUUCGAGUUUUUGUAUUCGAUAUUUCCGGGAGUAUGGAUACG